AGUGAACGCUGGCGGUAGGCCUAACACAUGCAAGUCGAACGGCAGCACAGUAAGAGCUUGCUCUUACGGGUGGCGAGUGGCGGACGGGUGACGCAUACAUAGGAAUCUACUUUUUCGUGGGGGAUAACGUGGGGACACUUAUGCUAAUACCGCAUACGACCUACGGGUGAAAGCAGGAGAUCUUCAGACCUUGCGUGAUUGAAUGAGCCGAUGUCGGAUUAGCUAGUUGGCGGGGUAAAGGCCCACCAAGGCGACGAUCCUUAGCUGGUCUGAGAGGAUGAUCGGCCACACUGGAACUGAGACACGGUCCAGACUCCUACGGGAGGCAGCAGUGGGGAAUAUUGGGCAAUGGGCGAAAGCCUGAUCGAGCCAUACCGCGUGAGUGAAGAAGGUCUUCGGGUUGUAAAGCUCUGUUGUUGGGAAAGAAAAGCUGCAGAUGAAUACCCCGCUGUUCUGACGGUACCUAAAGAGUAAGCACCGGCUAACUUCGUG
rnacentral:rRNA from 1 species